GGAAUCUUCCACAAUGGACGCAAGUCUGAUGGAGCAACGCCGCGUGAGUGAAGAGGGGUUUCGGCUCGUAAAGCUCUGUUGUUAAAGAAGAACGUGGGUAAGAGUAACUGUUUACCCAGUGACGGUAUUUAACCAGAAAGCCACGGCUAACUACGUGUCAG
rnacentral:rRNA from 1 species